CUGGCUUAGAACUAACGCUGGCAGUGCGUCUUAAGCAUGCAAGUCAAACGGGAUGUAGCAAUACAUCUAGUGGCGAACGGGUGAGUAACGCGUGGAUGAUCUACCUACGAGAUGGGGAUAACUAUUAGAAAUAGUAGCUAAUACCGAAUAAGGUCAAUUAAUUUGUUAAUUGAUGAAAGGAAGCCUUUAAAGCUUCGCUUGUAGAUGAGUCUGCGUCUUAUUAGUUAGUUGGUAGGGUAAAUGCCUACCAAGGCGAUGAUAAGUAACCGGCCUGAGAGGGUGAACGGUCACACUGGAACUGAGAUACGGUCCAGACUCCUACGGGAGGCAGCAGCUAAGAAUCUUCCGCAAUGGGCGAAAGCCUGACGGAGCGACACUGCGUGAAUGAAGAAGGUCGAAAGAUUGUAAAAUUCUUUUAUAAAUGAGGAAUAAGCUUUGUAGGAAAUGACGAAGUGAUGACGUUAAUUUAUGAAUAAGCCCCGGCUAAUUACGUGCCAGCAGCCGCGGUAAUACGUAAGGGGCGAGCGUUGUUCGGGAUUAUUGGGCGUAAAGG
rnacentral:rRNA from 1 species